UUGGCUGCUCCCCACUCCAAACAGUAGACAAGCCAGGUUGGGUGAAAGGAAAGUUUGCCCUAUAUCAAUGCCGGCAGGUCGGGGGGAGGAUGGUGGACACCUGUCCAAAGGCCUUCUGACUUAUACCCGAACCAAACCCUUAGUGGCAACCAGUAGGUCAAGAGCUUUUCCAGACAGAAAUGUGUGGGGGUCGUUAUGUGCAGGAAGAGCAGAGUCAUCUGCUAUAUUUUGAAAAAAAAAAAUAAGAGAGAAUUAGUUAAGACUUGUUAUCUGCCUAACCAAGGUUUAUAAUAUCUAAUUGCUAGUGAGUAAUUCCUGUAUCGACUGUCCCUCCUAACAGGUAACAAUUUUUAUCAUAAAUUGCAUUCUGACAGAAAACAGUGGAAACUUAUGUCCUUCGUGCAGUCUCACCAUCAUGAAAUCAACAUCUCCACUUGGUGCUUUGGUAUCUAUAAUGUGGCUCACGGGAUAUGACUCAGAAUAUUAUCUAUAGCCCUUCAGAAUCAACUAAAUGUCCUUGACUGUGCUUAAUGACUAUGUCAUUAUUAUUUAGUCUCCUUUGACUGUUUUCCUUUGCUUUCCCAUCUCUCACUUCUUUGAUUGCAGUCGUUCUUUGACUACAGUUUUCCACUGACAGAAGUCAGGCAGGUACAUGGUAGGGAAUGGGGGGCAAGGACCUUAGGGUCCUGGUCCUGCUUUGAAUACCUGUGCUCCUGGAGAAAGGGGGAUGCAGCUAAGACAUUGUCUGCCCAGAGGGUGUGCAGUGGAGAUGGUGAGGCCUUGGGUACCUGUGGGAAGCCUGGAAAGGGGGAUUUGUGUCCUUCUGGGAGUGGAGGCAGUCUUAGAUGAGAGACUGUUGACAUAGGCACUGAACAAAACAAAACAUGUGCCAAUUGUUGACUGAACAGAGUUAGUGGUUUUGAUAAUAUUGGAUGUUGGGUCUGGGGGCUCUAAUAGAUGAAGCCACAGUAUUAUUCAUAGUCAUCCAGUAUGGAAUGGCCUAAAUUUUUUCCCAAAAUUUCGGCUAUGCAAGGUUCGGCUGUCAAAUGGAGAAGUGGGGAUAAUCACCCCUUUAGUAAUCAGGGUUUUACAAAAUUUUCAUCUUUGAAGACUAUGUUUUCAUUUACUUUGGAGCACAUUAACUGUUUUAACUGGGGGGGGGGGGAAGGUCCCUAGGAUAUUGUUUUAGGAAACCAAUUUGCAAUCACAAGAAAAUAGGUUUAAUUUUAAUGUAUGUUACAGUGUCUCUGCCCAUAAAGGAUAUUUUAAAACAAUGGCUAGUAUGACUAUGGGAAAUUUAGGCCAGGCAUCAGUUAAAGUGAAACAUUAUAUUCUUCUCUUUUAUAUGUAGUUGGGCUUCCCUGGUGGCUCAGAUGGUAAAGAAUCUGCCUGCAGUACAGUAGAUGGGGUUCCAUCCCUGGGUCGGGAAGAUCCCCUGGAGAAGGGAAUGGCCAUCACUCCAGUGUUCUUGCCUGGAGAAUUCCAUGGACAAAGGAGCCUGGAGGGCUACAGUCCAUGAAGUUGCAGAGAGGUGGACACAACUGAGCAACUAACACUUUAACUUUUCAUGUGUAGUUACCUGCAUCGCCAGCAGAUUCUUAACCACUUAGUCCACUAGGGAAUCCCCAGAUGUCUUUUUAUCCAAGAUAUUUCUGCAAACACUUGGACACACAAAACUCCUCAUAUAUACUAUUUAUUAAGACAGGAUCACACCUGGGUAUGAAUGUGGCUCUGACUUCUGUGCUUUCAUUUGUAAAAGCAUGAGGCAAACCAAACAUCAGGGUCUCUUACUGGUAAAGAAUGAGUGACUGGAUGUGGCGGGGGGAACAAGCUUGCAGUCAACGCUGAUUCUCUCCAGGCUUGAGUGCCGUGAAGUUACAACCCCUAAAACUUUCAGAGUGCAUUUGGUGCAGUGAAAGUUGCUUCAGUUGUGUCCAACUCUUUACAACCCCAUGGACUGUAGCCCCCCAGGGUCCUCUGUCCAUGGACUUCUCCAGGCAAGAAUACUGGAGUGGGCUGCCAUUCCCUUCUCCCUGACCCAGGUAUUGCAUUUCAGGCAGAUUCUCUAUCAUCUGAGCCAGUGAACUUAAAGUAUGUCUAAAUGACUCAGCCUUGGGGAAGAUGAAUAAUCUCUGAAGAGCAGGGCUGCAGGCACUGACAUUGGGUUCAUUUAAAUCUGGGCACAUGGGACCUAGAAUCCAGGAGGUUCUAGAUGACCUCUGUGCUCACAAGGCUCCUGCUAUUCAGAGCUGUGGCUGAUUCCCUCUGGGUAGAUUCUGGGGAGAAAGGGCUUGUCUCUGAUGAGGCUGGUGUCCCUUCCCUUGUCCUCAGCAUCCCCUUUCUCACCCACAGCUUCCUAGUCUCUGUCUCCAAUCCCUGCCCACAUUAUGCCCUCCUGGGGCCCAUGUUGAAGCCUCCCCUAGCCUCAGUCUACCCUUUCCCAUCCUGCCUAUCAUAUUGUCUAGGCAGUCGACAGCCCUCCUCUGCUUGCUGAGCUCCUGAUCAACAACGUGCGAAAAGGCAGGACAGAAGUGGGAGCUGUCUGUGUUGCUGGAGUGGAUCAGCUCAGAAAUCUUGCUAGGAAAGGAGGGCCCCAGGAAGGAUUUACAAGGUAGAUCACACUUGUGUUCUGUAGUGUUUUAGGUUGCUUCAACAGGACCGCCAUGCCUGGACAUGUGAGACCUUCUCCAGCAGGUGAGUUUACUCCAUCUCCAGCCCAGAUUCUCACCCGAGUGGUCUAACCACAAAUGAAUGUUCCCCACCGUCAUUUCCUGUUAUUGCAAUAUUUUUUUUCCUGUGUGUUUUUUUUUGUGUGUGUGUGUGCACUGGGUCUUUGUUGUUGUGUGUGGGCUUUCUCUCUGCUGUGAGUGGAGGCUACUCUCCAGUUGGAGUGUGCACACUUCUUGUUGUGGCGGCUUCUCUUGUUGUGGAGCAUGGGCCCUAGGCAGGCAGUCUUCAGUAGUUGUGGAACACGGGCUUAAAUGCCCCAAGGCAUGUGAAAUCUUCCCAGACCAGGGAUGGAACCCAUGUCCCUGCAUUGGCAGGUGAACCAUUAAAAAAAAAACCCACUGGAGCACCAGGAAGCCCUAUAUGUAUCUUUCUUGGUACAUGUAACUCUUCUUCAUUUCAAUGGUAGAUUGAAUCCUACUGCUGUUGUGUAACCACUAAGUUGUGUCUGAAUGUUUUGUGACCCCAUGGAUUGUAACCCGCCAGGCUCCCUGAGAUUUGCUAGGCAAGAACCCUGGAGUGAGUUGCCCUUAUCUCCUCCAAGAGAUCUUUCCAAGCCAGGGGUCGAACCUGUGUCUCUUGAAUUGGCAGGCGGGUUCUUUACCACUGAGCCACUGGGCAAGCCCAGGAGGACCCUGAGGUGUACCAAAAAGGGACUCAGAGCCAGGCCAAGGGAGAUGAUUGGCUAAAGGAAAUCCAGAAGAAAUGCCGCAUAGAAGUGAUUUAGCUACCAUGAGGCCCGACCCCCCCACUCUUUCUGAGCCCUCUGGUGUGUCUGUCCACAAGCACCCUUUCCCUCCUAAGAAACACUUUGCUUGCGUCACCACUUUCCAUCUCUAGGUGGAGAUUCACCGCUACAUAGAUAAUGAGUCAGGGUUUGUCACGGCUAUUCUCCCUGGCGGUCUGGUGGUCAGGAUCCAGUGCUCUCCCUCCACAGCCCGACCUCGGCCUCUGGCCAGGAGCCGAAAUCGUGCUUUGAGUCACUGCAGGCCGAGGUCAGCCUCCUGCCUGGCUGUGUGCUGACCUCCUCCCCCUGCUGGGCUGAGGCUCCAGCCAGGCACAGGGCAGGGGAAGGGCCAGAUCUGGAGGAGCAAGGCCAAGGGAUCUGAGCCCCCUGGGGCUGAGGGCUGGGGAGGUUUUCAAAGGGCACAUUCUGGAGGGGAGUCUGAGGGGCUCAGUGUGGGGCGCAGGGGUAGCGCUGUGGCCCAGACCCGGGAGCUCGGAGGCCAGUUCCUAAUCUGAGCAGAGGGGCUCUGGUGGUCUUGAGAGAAGUUGGGGGUGCACAGGACCCAGACGCCAGUCUUCAAGGGACUGAACAGGGUCAGAGCAGAGGGAAGGAGAAGCUCUUGUGAACCCUUAAGGAAAUGCAUUAUUGUGUUAGAGGACUUAUCACUGUGGGUUGUUUAUGACCAAGAUUUCAGUUUGCUUAUGAUUUAUACUUCCCAACUCUGCCUGCCUAACCAACAAGACUUAUUUGAACCUGGAGAGACAUCACUAACAUGAUGGUAACAGUGUUCAGGAGACAAAGAUUACCCAGCUUGCCUUCCUGUAUUGGUUCCUCCACUGCAAGAACCAGGAAAAAUACAGAAACCAAAUAUUUGCUGUUACCGGCAACGCACAGAUGUCACCUUCCUGCCUGUGUGCCUGUUCAGUCGUUCUUUGUGACCCUUUGGACUGUGGCGCCCCCCAGGCUCCUAUGUCCAUGGGAUUUCCCAGGGAAAAAUACUAUAGUGGCAUGCCAUUUCCUACUGCAGGGGAUCUUACUGAUCUAGAGACCAGACUCGAGUCCCUGGCGUGUCCUGCAUGGCAGGCAUAUUCUUUACCGCUGAGCCACCCUGACAACGUAUAGACUUCACCCUAAAGAAAUGAAGGGCAUCUGAACUCUCCUGUGGCCUCCUGCCUGUUUCUGGGCUGACUUCCUUCUCCUGGAGGGCUGAGAUUCCAGUCAGGCGCAGACCAGGGGAAGGGCCAGAUUGUAACCAAGCAGGACCCACUGAGGCAUUCCCAGAAUAAACCCCCAGUCAAGCCCUCCACCAGCCUUUUGUCUGUAGAAACUCUUUCACCAAAUAAUCCAUCUAGGGUCUUCCCUGGCGGUCUGUUGGCUAAGACUCCACCAGUCAAAUUCAUGGGGUGAAGUCAGGAUCCAGGCAGGGGAACAAAGAUCCCUCAUGCCUUCUGGUGAGGUUUGGGCGGGGGGGGAAGGAUAAAUUUCAUCAGAGCAGUAAGGACAUCCUGAAGGGGAAAAUGUCAAACAAGAAAAAAUAAUAAGACUUGAGCCAUCAAACAAAGUCAAGGACUUUUCUUCCUCAAGGUCUCUGGAUAAUAUUCUGUGCCUUAUGUGUGAGCUAUUUUGCAGUUACCAAACCCCCACCAGGCUGAAGAAGUUAACUGCUGCCCACAGCAGGUAUACCCCAGACUGGUUGCAACAAGAAGGUUGACGCUGCAGCCUCCCCACUACCUCAACACCAGCCAGGGCUCCAUAAACACUAAAGACUCCACAUACCCGCUCUAGGCUGGGACUCAUGGUCUUGGGGGCACUAGGCCAAUGUGGCCUAAUUUUCCUAGCAAAGGAGUAAAGCUCUUUCUUUCUACCUCACCCCAAAUUCUUUCUUACAGACUUCACUCUGCCUUGGUGUGCAGAGGCUGAAUUUUGGUAACAAAUUUGGAGUCCUGUGUGGGGUUGGCUUAGGGGUGACCCCAUGGGUGUCCCCUGGCUCCGUCACACUCUCUAGAUUUUUCCUCCAUGCAGCCUCUUUCCAGAAGUUUGGAACAGUGGGAAGAUUCCUUCAGAGGCCUGAUCCCAGAAGACCCGUGUCAAGAAGGCUGAGCCCCAGUCAUACUCGGGGACACCAAGGCGGUAGAGGAGGGAAGAGGAAGGGCCGCCCUAGAGGGUGGGGAGGCCACCUUCACCUCAAGGAUGUUCCUCUCUUCCUCCAGCCCAUGCCAGCUUGAAUUUGGUGCUCCAAGGAAUUAUUUUGAGGAAGGAGAAAGACAGCGUCUGGGGCAUCAAGACAUCUUGGUCAGCAUCUGGGGAAAUUAAUUCAGCCGGAUCUAGAGAGGAAGGGAAGCCAGGAUGGAAGUGAGCUGCUGAAAGUCUUAGGUGCCUGACAGAAGCUUGCCCUCCCCCAUGUCCCUACCAGUGGGAAAUUAAUUCAGCCGGAUCUAGAGAGGAAGGGAAGCCAGGAUGGAAGUGAGCUGCUGAAAGUCUUAGGUGCCUGACAGAAGCUUGCCCUCCCCCAUGUCCCUACCAGUGAGCAUUUAUUUAUUUAUUUAUUUUUGUCACCAAACUGAGCUGAAGAAGGAAUUCAUAGGGCCUCGACUCCAUCUCAGGCCUGUCUGUGCUGAUCGUGCGUGGCCACCUCUCCAGUGGACUCUGAACUCUGUGCUUAGCGCCUGUGGGAACAACAAUGGAAGGAUAAGACCCCCCUCUGGGCAGGGGAAUGUUGAAGAAGAGAAAACAGACACUAAUCACCCCUGCCUCUGGACACUAUCUAUCAGAAUGUAAGCACAGGCUUAUCGGUUAUUAACUAUUUGGAAUGUAACUGCGGGCUUAUUGAUUAUUGACUGUUUGAACACAUAACACGUGAAUGAUGGGGUUAUUGUAAUUGUAUUUACCCUUCCUUUGUUUAUGUAAGUCUCAAGGGAAUUGGGGUAGUGGGUUUGGACGCGUGCACAUGGGGUAUAAAAGAUUUUCACAAAUGCUGGUCGGGGUCCUUGGCUAAGAGGAGACUCUGCCUUGGGCCCGCCAGUGUAAUAAACUGCACUCCACUAUCUGCAUUGUCCUUCUGAGAGAGUUUGCUUCCCGGAAAGCGUGGCUAUAACAUUUGGUGCAUUGGCCGGGAAACUCCUCACUUUGAGGAGACAGGUCUCACUUGAGGCCACCCCGAGGCUUUGUAGCUUGAACCUCCUAGAGGAGGGAAGGCGCCUCGCCCCUCUGGAAGGAUUCUGCUUCUCAACGCCCGGACCUUUCACGUCAGCAGGUAGUGGACGGCAGCAGGGGAACUGAGCGCUCAGGUGAGGAGGAACUCACCGAGUAGGGUGGAAGAGGGGGCCUGAUCACCCCUCUGGGAGGGACUAGAAGGAGCGGGGACCCACAGGAGCCUGGAAUAGGCAGGCGGCGAUUGCUUGGUACACAGGUCGACGAGCGUGCUAGGGUUUAGGAAGGAAAUUUGUGAAGGUCAUUUAGGAGGUGUGUCCACGCUGUCUCGGGGAAAAUUAUUACCAAGCUAUCGCCAGGGGAUUCUUAGGAUAGGAAACUGGUCCUUGUAUGCUCGUAUUCUGCCCUCCCCCAGGAGGUGUCCUCUCUGCUGUGAAAUUCUUGACCCCCUUGGAAUUGUUGGGCUAGAAGGAGGGGGAAACAGAAGUGAGUAUGAAUUGGCUUUUCUGGAGAUGGCCUGGGACAUGAGAUAUUUAACCCAUCUGUGUUUUCAUCCGCACCUGAUCAAGCCCACCAAGGCAGAAUGGACUUUAAGGGAGAAACAGUCUCGGACCAUGUGAUGUUCUGGUUCAGCUAUGCUGACUGGCAGGUGAAGACACGCUGAUCCCCCUUCUCCCUCUGGGAUCUGGCAGGUAAGGCUCUUCUCACCCCAGUUAAGGAGGCAAAAUGGCAAUUUAAGUGUCACUGAGUGGAAAUAUCAGAAGUACAUAGGGUACUGAGAACUUCGUAGACAGAACGAAAAGGAAAAGUAGAAGGUCCGAGAAGGUAAGCAAGAUGGGGGAAAGUGAAUCUAAGGCAACUGUAUUGGAGUGCAUGAUUAAAAAUUUAAAGAAGGGAUUAGGAGGAGACUAUGGGGUGGAGAUGAAGCCUAACCGCCUCCAUAUACUCUGUGAGGUCGAAUGGCCCCCUAUGGGAGCAGGAUGGCCACCAGAGAACACCGUGAACUUAAAAAUAGUGGAAGCAAUCUAUACAGUAGUCACAGGAGAGCCAGGACACAUGGAUCUAUAUCCAUCUAUUGACUCAUGGCUAGGGUUAGCUUGAGACCCUCCUACUUGGACAAGGUUCUGUAUCCAGAAGGGAAAGGGAAAAAUAUUAAUGGCACAAAAAUUGACUUAUGAUAAAAAAGGAAAUUCUACAGGAUUUGGACGGGGAUGACCUGACCCCUCCCCCAUGCUGGAUAAUGACACGCCUGCCUCCCAGUGCUUCACCAGGACCGGAGGCCGCCUUAAUGCCCGAUCCAGGGCCAGGUGAAGUUUCUGCAACAGCCACUGCUCCUCUGCCAGCUUUCCCGGAGUUCAUAGAGCCGCCGUUUGGGCAGGCUCCGAUCCCGGUGACAGAAGCCUCUGGCCAACACUUCCAGGAUCCGGCUCCACCCGAACCGCCCAAGCUAUACCCGCCUCUCCUGGUGAGUACUGACAAGACGGGGAGGGAGACGUUGGAAUUAAGCAGAGACCGCGCCCUGCCGGAGAGCUGGAGGGAACGAAAGAGAACAAACAAGAGCCUUACAGUGCAAGUUGCUGCUCUGGGAAAGUCUAUCUCGGGCCCUCCAGAAAACCUCAUCUGCCCCAGGGACAGGACAGUCCUUCAGCCGGUCCAAAGGGAGGCCCUGGGCCCAUUACAGCCAAACCAGUGUGCCCGGUGCCGAGCUUUUGGCCACUGGAAGAAGAAGAAGCUCCCGCAGUUGUGGGGCUUGCUGACCUGGAAAUUAACUAGGGCUGCCAGGGCUCAGAGAUAUCAGGUCCCUGAGAGCCCAUGGUAACCGUAAAAGUGGGGGACCAAAACACUGACUUCGUGGUGGAUACAGGAGAACUGUCGGUAGUAACAAAACCUGUGGCACCUCUGUCCACAAGACUACCGCUGUAACUGGGGUAUCGGGAGAAGAGAUGAUUAAAUCAUUUUGCCAGCCCAGAAAAUGUCAGAUUGGGGGGUGGGGGGGCACCAAGUGAUUCAUGAACUCCUCUGCAUUCCUGAGUGCCCAGUACCCCUGUUGGGAAGAGACUUGCUCUCCAAACUAGGAGCACAAGUGACUUUCUCCCCUGAGGAGAGACCCACCUUCUGGACGGACUCUAUGACUUAUUUGCCCUCUCUCUCAAUACCAACCCAAGAUGAGUGGAGGUUGCAUGAGCCUCUGAAGGCAGAACCGGGUGGGCCAGAAGAACAUGAGGCAGCUAACUCAAUUAUUCCCUGAGGUCUGGGUGGAAGACAACCCCCUCUCCCCCCCCCCCCCC